UACAGAGGAGCCAAGCGUUGUCCGGAUUGACUGGGCGUAAAGCGCACGCAGGCGGUCGCGCGCGUGGGGUGUGAAAUCUGGCCGCUUAACGGCCAGGCGCCAUCCCAUACGGCGCGACUGGAGUGAUGCAGAGGUCGGUGGAAUUGCCGGUGUAGCAGUGAAAUGCGUAGAUAUCAGGAGGAACACCGAUGGCGAAGGCAGGUCUCUGGGCUGACACUGACGCUCAUGCACGAAAGCGUGGGGAGCAAACAGG
rnacentral:rRNA from 1 species